ensembl:lincRNA Gm26734 predicted gene, 26734
GACCUUUUCCAGAUCUCAGGUCUGACUUGCACUCCAGUAGCAUUUGUGCCUAUCCUCCAAGCCGUGGGAGAGGACACACCAUUUCAGCUCAGGCUCUUCAGCCGCCUGCUCUUCCCCUUUGUGGGCAGUGGUCCUGCACUCACCAUGACCUCCUUCGUAGCUUGCUUGAGCUUUCUUCACAGCACUUCCCCUUCUUCAAGGUGGAUAGCCUGUUACUGAACUUGGAGUGGAGGUAUCAAUCUGGCCCACCGGUGGAAGGAUGCCCAGGAUAUUAACAUUAAAGAGGAUUUUAGGAAACAAGAGUUUUGUUUUGUGGCUUCAUGCUGGGCUCAGGAAAACUGCAGCUCCUUUUCACCAAAAAGGUAUGAAACAACCUUGGGAAAAAAACAGGAAACAGAUGACAAACUGUAGAGCACUAUUGUUAGCCAGCACAUCUUCCUCAAUGGCAAGGUGGAGAAAAACCACAGUUGUCUUAGUACAGAAAAAUGACCUCAUCUCAUAGGAUGAAUUUCUCUAUGUAUGUAGAAAGGGGAUUUAACAGAAUGACUCACAGACAGUGGUCCUCCUAGUCCAAUAAUGGCUGAGCAGAUUCAUUGCCAAGGGAAACUAGAAAAAUCAAGGACUUGUUCAGUUCACGUUGCUUGAUAUCUCAGCGGAUCUUGAGUACUUCCCAGAAUUCUGAAGAAAUAAGUAUUACUAAUGCCAGUUUCAAAACAAAACAAAGCCUCAUUAAAAACAAAUAAAUCAAUACAAAGGCUGAAAGAUCAAGCACAGGUCUUGUGUCUUCUAAAUUAAACAACAACCAUCUUCAUACCUUCAGCUUCAUUGAAUUAAAAUAACCACAGCAGGACUUUUUAAAUGUUACUAAAUCUAAAAACAAAAAAAAAAAAAAACGCCAGUACUUUUAAAAGGUAGAAGGGGGAUAACUACUUAUGAGAAGUUGUCUCCAUACAUACUGAGUAAGGCAUUUUUUUUAAGAUUUAUUUUUUUAUGUCUAUGAAUACACUGUUGCUGUCUUCAGACACACCAGAAGAGGGUGUUGGAUUUUAUUACAGAUGGUUUCGAGCCACUCUGUGCUUACUGGGAAUUGAACUCAGGUGCUCUGGAAGAGCAGUCCGUGCUCUUAACCGCUGAGCCAUCUCUCCAGCCCGAGUAAGGCAUUUUAAUGUGACUGAUUGUAGGAUAUCCACAGUCUCAUAAGAAACACCUUGUCAAUUUUGUAAAAGUAAACCAAAUAAUUUCACUGGCAUCUUUGGUUGAACUAUGAUAAUUUUGAAAUGUGGUGCCAUUGAGAACUUAGAAAGAGGGGAUAAACAUUGCUUAUUCCCCACCCCUAAAUAAAUGUUCUCAUAGUAGAUUAUGAAUUUAUUUGUUAAACGUAUUGUGUUAUGGUAUUAACAAAUAUAAAAUGUUAGAAUGAUCGAAAGACAGAAAUAGUUUUAAUAAAGAAGGAUUUAUGUAUAGAUUAGGAUGGAAAUUUC